GUAGGGAAUAUUGCGCAAUGGACGAAAGUCUGACGCAGCGACGCCGCGUGAGUGAUGAAGGCCUUAGGGUCGUAAAGCUCUGUUGAAUGGGAAGAAAAAAAUGACGGUACCAUUCGAGGAAGGACCGGCUAACUUCGUGCCAGCAGCCGCGGUAAUACGAGGGGUCCUAGCGUUGUUCGGAAUCAUUGGGCGUAAAGGGUGUGUAGGUGGCCAUGUAAGUCAGGUGUGAAAGCCCCGGGCUCAACCCGGGAAGUGCACUUGAUACUGCGUGGCUUGAGUACCGAAGAGGGUAGUGGAACUCCAGGUGUAGUGGUGAAAUACGUAGAUAUUCGGAGGAACACCAGUGGCGAAGGCGGCUACCUGGUCGAGUACUGACACUGAGACACGAAAGCAUGGGGAUCAAACAGGAUUAGAAACCCCGGUAGUCC
rnacentral:rRNA from 1 species